rnacentral:rRNA from 1 species
AUGAUGUCGUUUUACCCCUUGCUAGUAGGGGUCAGAAAGAAAGCUGAUUUCUUCAAAGCUAGACUAGUGUGGCAGGAGAAUGAAGAUAAGAAAAAAUAUCACCUGGUUAAUUGGAAAACCUGCUGUCUUCCAAAAGACUUGGGGGGACUGGGGAUUUUAAAUCUAGAGCUAAUGAAUAAAGCACUCUUAGCUAAAUGCCUGUGGAAACUGGAAACAGAGGAUGGGAUGUGGAUAAAAAUCCUUCUUAACAAGUAUGUGGAAGGAAAAUGUAUCUCUGGACUAAAAAAGAAAACGGGAGAUUCCCAAUUCUGGGGGAGCCUCAUGCAGAUCAAAGACGUAUAUUCUCGAAACGUUAAGAAAAAACUUGGAGAUGGCAAAGGCACACGCUUCUGGAAGGAUUGGUGGGUGGGGGCUAAACCUCUAAAAGAGGCCUACCCAAGUCUUUGCUACAUCAAUUUGAAUCAUAACAUUUGA